AGAGUUUGAUCCUGGCUCAGGACGAACGCUGGCGGCGUGCUUAACACAUGCAAGUCGAACGAUGAAGCCUAGCUUGCUAGGUGGAUUAGUGGCGAACGGGUGAGUAAUACGUGAGUGACCUACCUUUGACUCUGGGAUAAGCCUGGGAGACUGGGUCUAAUACCGGAUACGACCAAUCUCCGCAUGGGGUGUUGGUGGAAAGCGUUAUGGAGUGGUUUUAGAUGGGCUCACGGCCUAUCAGCUUGUUGGUGAGGUAAUGGCUUACCAAGGCGACGACGGGUAGCCGGCCUGAGAGGGUGACCGGCCACACUGGGACUGAGACACGGCCCAGACUCCUACGGGAGGCAGCAGUGGGGAAUAUUGCACAAUGGGCGCAAGCCUGAUGCAGCGACGCCGCGUGAGGGAUGACGGCCUUCGGGUUGUAAACCUCUGUUAGCAUCGAAGAAGCGAAAGUGACGGUAGGUGCAGAGAAAGCGCCGGCUAACUACGUGCCAGCAGCCGCGGUAAUACGUAGGGCGCGAGCGUUGUCCGGAAUUAUUGGGCGUAAAGAGCUUGUAGGCGGUUGGUCGCGUCUGCUGUGAAAGGCUGGGGCUUAACCCUGGUUUUGCAGUGGGUACGGGCUAACUAGAGUGCAGUAGGGGAGACUGGAAUUCCUGGUGUAGCGGUGGAAUGCGCAGAUAUCAGGAGGAACACCGAUGGCGAGGGCAGGUCUCUGGGCUGUAACUGACGCUGAGAAGCGAAAGCAUGGGGAGCGAACAGGAUUAGAUACCCUGGUAGUCCAUGCCGUAAACGUUGGGCACUAGGUGUGGGGGACAUUCCACGUUUUCCGCGCCGUAGCUAACGCAUUAAGUGCCCCGCCUGGGGAGUACGGCCGCAAGGCUAAAACUCAAAGAAAUUGACGGGGGCCCGCACAAGCGGCGGAGCAUGCGGAUUAAUUCGAUGCAACGCGAAGAACCUUACCAAGGCUUGACAUAUACUGGACUGCGUCAGAGAUGGCGUUUCCCCUUCGGGGCUGGUAUACAGGUGGUGCAUGGUUGUCGUCAGCUCGUGUCGUGAGAUGUUGGGUUAAGUCCCGCAACGAGCGCAACCCUCGUUCUAUGUUGCCAGCACGUGAUGGUGGGGACUCAUAGGAGACUGCCGGGGUCAACUCGGAGGAAGGUGGGGAUGACGUCAAAUCAUCAUGCCCCUUAUGUCUUGGGCUUCACGCAUGCUACAAUGGCCGGUACAGAGGGUUGCGAUACUGUGAGGUGGAGCUAAUCCCUAAAAGCCGGUCUCAGUUCGGAUUGGGGUCUGCAACUCGACCCCAUGAAGUCGGAGUCGCUAGUAAUCGCAGAUCAGCAACGCUGCGGUGAAUACGUUCCCGGGCCUUGCACACACCGCCCGUCAAG
rnacentral:rRNA from 1 species